rnacentral:tRNA from 1 species
UGCCCGAUAGUGUAAUGGCAGCACAACAGAUUUUGAUUCUGUUAGUCCAAGUUCGAAUCUUGGUCGGGUAA